rfam:Camelus ferus unplaced genomic scaffold scaffold598, whole genome shotgun sequence.
UGGGGUAUAGCUCAGUGGUAGAGUGUGUGCUUAGCAUGCACGAGGUCCUGGGUACCAGUACCUCCA